AUUGAACGCUGGCGGCAGGCCUAACACAUGCAAGCCGAGCGGCUGAAGGGAGCUUGCUCCUGGAUUCAGAAGCGGAUGGGUGAGUAAUGCCUAGGCAUCUGCCUGGUAGUGCGGGAUAACGUCAGGAACAGGGUGCUCAUACGCCACAAGUCCUGCGGGAGAAAGUGGGGGAUGUUCGGACAUCACGCUAUCAGAUGAGCCUAUGUCGGAUUAGCUAGAUGGUGGGGUAAGGGCCGACCAAGGCAACGAACCGUAACUGGUCUGAGAGGAAGAAAAGGCACAGUGGAUCAGAGACACUUGCCAGACUCCUGCGGGAGGCAGCAGUGUUGAAUAUAGUAGAAUUGGCGAAAAUCUGAUCCAGCCAAGCCGCAUGUAGGAUGAAGGUUUUCGGUUGGUAGAGCACUUUAAGUUGGGAGGGAGUACAGGAAUUUAAUACCUUGCUUUUUUGACGUUACCGACAGAAUAAGCUGCGGCUGGCUUCUUG
rnacentral:rRNA from 1 species